UGUGUCAAGCCCAAGUCCACAAAGCCCUAGCCUACACUGCAUGCAACAAUUUUAACUCUUUCUCCAGCAAAACUGAUGACUCGGUUAUGGCAUUUAACAUAUAGGUUAUAAGACAACAAUGGGCACAUAAUCAAGGCAUUAUUAUGCCAUUGAUUAUGGCAUAAUUGGUGACAUGCCAAAAUGAGAAUAGGAAGUGCAAGUGUACAUUCGAAUGGGAGAUUGAGUACCGAUGUAGGAGGAAAAGCUGUGUGCAUGUAUAAGACAUUCUUCAAAGGAAAAAUGUAGGCAUCCUGGUGCUUAGGAUACAAGGAGAUGAUACUAGCUAGCUCAGAAUUUACACAAAGAAGAGACACAAAGGAGAAGUGCUUCUUGUAUGAUAUUGUUGCAAAUGGUCGAAAUGGAAUCGAUGUGGACAAGUUUGAUUACAUUGUCCGUGAUUGUCGAGCUUGUGGUCUAGGAUGUAGUUUUGAGUUUCAGAGGUUAAUGGAGACAAUGCGAGUUAUGGGUGAUGAGAUUUGCUAUCGCGCGAAGGACUAUCUUACCAUUCACAAGUUGUUUGCCACCCGUGCUGAUCUUUAUCGCACAGUUUAUACUCAUCCAAAAGUAAAGGCAAUAGAACUUAUGAUGGUUGAUGCCUUGUUGAAAGCAAAUGAUUAUCUGCAACUGUCAUCUUACAUUCAAGAUCCUUCAGAAUAUUGGAAGGUAAUGUUAUCUGUUCUCUAACUAGAUGUUAUUAUGAAUGUUUUAUUUCUCUUUGAUGCUGCUUUGCCAUUGAUUGAUGCAGUUAGAUGACACGAUAAUCAAAACUAUUGAGACAGCUCCUGAUGAACAACUAAGGGAAUCUAGGGAUUUGAUCCUGCGGAUACGCAGGAGAAAUUUGUACCAGUUUUGCAAUGAGUACGCUGUUCCUAGGGACAAGGUGGAAAAUUUCAAAGAUGUCACUGCACAGGAUAUUGUUUGUUCCCAGGUUGUCACAUAUGCUUGGCCCUACAAAUGUGUGCAUUCAUGUUUUUAAAAUGUUUCUGUUGUUGUAUGUAAUUGAUGAUAUGGGGGAUUGAGGGCUUCCAAUUCACAGAAAAACGGUGGUGUGCUACUGAAGGAAGAUGAUAUUGCAGUAAGCAAUGUUAGGAUUGAUUUGACUCGUGGAAGGCAUAAUCCUCUUGAAAGGUAAUUGAACUAUGAGGCAUCUGUUUUAUAUUUAAACAGGCAUUUCUUGUUCUUGUAAUUUUGGUUGAAUAGGACAUUCUGCUUAACUUUUUCCAUCUCUGUUUUUCCAUUUUACCUGGGUGCCUGUAUUCUUCUCCAGCAUCAAUUUUUUCAAGGUACUCCAUUUCACUAUCUUGACCUGGAUCUACUAUGUACUUCAGCUUUGCCUUAAUAUUAACUGGUUCCCAAAAUGAUCUCUAAUGGCAUUUUUGAUGGUAUGGUUCAAUGUGAUGUGUAACUGUUUGUUAGACUUUAGGUUUACAUACUUUUGGAAGAAAUUUAGGACAUAAUUUAUAUUUGUAUUUUUAAUUGUUUAGGGUAUUUUAGGUAUGGGAAAUUUACAAUUUGGUUUUUGAGUUUUGCCCUAUAUUACACUUUUAGUCCUUGGAUUUUGGUAAAUCCUUUUAGCAUGCUGAAAGCAUGGUUCUGGUCAUACUAUACUGAAGUGAACAUUAACGCCUCCAGUGAAAUCCUAUUGCUUUACCCAAAUUGAGCUCAAAUUUGACUUGUAGGAACAAUACUUGUUAUUGAUGAUUGAGUUAAUAUUGUUUUUUCCCACAAUAAUUUUUCAAGCUGUACUCUGAGUACUUGGUUCUGCUAGGAUAUGAUAUAUGUUUUUCAUGACCAUUGAUGAAAAUACUUCACACAUGUUUGUGGCUUUGACCUCUGUUACAAUACAUCAUUGGGAUCACCGGAGGAGUUUCUCUUAUCUUACAAUAAUUACCCAAUAUAGUUUGCAGGAGCAUUUAGGACAGACCAUUUUAGUAACUUAAAUUAGCAUACUUAUUAUUUGGAGGUUUUGUUGUGGGUAUCAUGUCUUUUGGUGUUAUCUUCAGGAUUAUGAAAGUGAGGAGAAAUUUUCCAUACCUGAUGAUCGCAUCAGUCACUUGCUGCCUACAUCUUAUCAAGAUAUGAUAGUGAGGGUCUACUCAAAAAAGCCUGAACUGGUAGCAGCAGUCUCUGAGGCUUUUGAAAAUUUCCAGUUGAGAACUUAUGGGAUUAAGGCACAAGUGCAUGCAACUCCAGAGAAGAAGAAACGUCGGACAUGAGGUUUUCAUUGUCUAUGUUAGUUCUCUCUCUUUUUAUUUGUAAAAUGAACGCAAAAAGAUAUGUUUGCCAUACCACAAAUCGGUAAAGUUUGGAUAUCAUACCACAGGUGAAGCAUAUUAUAUAUAUAUAUAUUUAAUUCCUUUUGCCAUUUCCCCCUACUUGGAAUCUAGGACAUUCUGUUAUUUCAUUAAAUAGAGUAGCUGAGUUGAUGGGCUUAUUAUUUUCAAGUUCCCCCCAUAUCAACUGAAAUAUCUCAAAAUUUUUUAUGUCCAUAGUGUUUUCUCCAUUCAGCCCCCCAUCUCUGUCUUCCUCACAAAUAUGCAAAAAUGCACUCACACAUGAGAGCUAAAUGCUUAAAUGGCUAGCGACUUAUAGCUAGUUGUUAACCGACAUUAACAUUUUAGUAGAAUUAUCAUUUCAUGCUUUAUUCUUGUAUCAGUUUUGAUGCUUCUAUAGGUGCUGCAUCAGUUACCAUGUGGGAAAUUAUAGGUGCUGAUCUUGUCGUUGACAUACACACCAUGGCUAGUGGAGUUGCCUCUAAUCACACAAUCUGAAUAGUUUUGUAAGUUGUUUGAUUAUAUAUUACUUUAGCGACCUAUGAAAUUUUGGAUUGGUUUUUCACGGCCGGCUAGUUAUUCAUAUCCUAUAGCUCUUUCUAUUUGCAGCCUUAUAUUUGUAUUUCAGUUUAUAGGUUUCGACACUUAUUAAUUAUGUGACAAAUGAAUUAUAUGACAUCAGAUGAUAUGGGUGAGACGUGCAUCUAUGAGGAAUAUGUAACUUGUGCUAUGUUGAAUCAAUUUCAACACUAGAAUGGAUUGGUGUCUGACCCAAUUUUAAAUCACGGCUG
rnacentral:misc_RNA from 1 species